AGGCUCAAGAAGUCAUACAGAAAACAUAGAGUAUUACAGUCAUAUAGAUGACUGAACCUCAUAUCGGGCAAGUAGCAGCCAAUGACUAGGCACACGUACAUACGUGCAUCAUCUCUCUAGUGGUGCACACCCUCGAGCAGUUUAGUUUGGUGCUUCUUGUUACUGAUGACUGUCAAUGGCCUUACGUGAAACGAGAUAGAGAGCAGAAUGCAGCCAAGGAUGACUUGCCGGAUACAUGCUACAUCGCCAAGCCUCCUGAUUACUCAAACUGCAAAGUAGCACUGCCAAAGAUACAGCAAUAACAUUAAUGUAUAUCUGUUGUUGUCUGAUAUCAUGUGAUAAUGUCAUUCUUCUAAACUCUUAAGUUGGAAAAAUAAUUCAGCUGAACAUCAAAAGUUUACUGAGAGGAAAAGGUUGGUUGUUCUCAAUCAGUCAAUCUACUGGAGGACUCACAAUGCCAUGAAACAGAUGGAAAGAUGGAGCAGAGACAUGGGAGGCAGAAUAAGCAAGAAACUCAGAAGCGAAAGAAGUGCAGCAAGACCGUGGCAGAACCUAAAAAAAUAUAGUAGUGAAAGCUCUAUAUAUUGCCAAAGUCUCCAUUUAAUCAUGAGCCCUGAUUAGUGGGCAACAAAUUAAUUGUCAAUACAGGGCUAUAAAGUCUAAAGGACCUGAACUUUCUGGACUUUGCUGAAAAUAAGCACUAGAGACUUUUAUUGUUUGAGUGCAAAUUGAGCAAAAUUUUGCCUUUCGGUGAAAUUGCUGCUCGAUGAUACCUUACCAGUAUAUCAGGUCCGACAGCAGGGUCAAUCACGAAUUGACAGGAAAAAGAAGCACCAUGUUGACGUUUACGAACAACCGAAUCGUAUCAUGGUGGCUCCAGUAGUUAUCUGUACAAAUCUAUCUUGUCUUGACAAAAUGGAGUAGCAUUUUUCAUUUCCAGUUAUCUA